rnacentral:rRNA from 1 species
GAGCGCUGGCGGAAUGCUUUACACAUGCAAGUCGAACGGUAGAGGGGGGCAACCCCUUGAGAGUGGCGAACGGGUGAGUAAUAUAUCGGAACGUGCCCAGUCGUGGGGGAUAACGUAGCGAAAGCUACGCUAAUACCGCAUACGAUCUAUGGAUGAAAGCGGGGGAUCGCAAGACCUCGCGCGAUUGGAGCGGCCGAUAUCAGAUUAGGUAGUUGGUGAGGUAAAGGCUCACCAAGCCGACGAUCUGUAGCUGGUCUGAGAGGACGACCAGCCACACUGGGACUGAGACACGGCCCAGACUCCUACGGGAGGCAGCAGUGGGGAAUUUUGGACAAUGGGCGCAAGCCUGAUCCAGCAAUGCCGCGUGCAGGAUGAAGGCCUUCGGGUUGUAAACUGCUUUUGUACGGAACGAAACGGUGAGCUCUAAUACAGUUUGCUAAUGACGGUACCGUAAGAAUAAGCACCGGCUAACUACGUG